ACGUAGGGUGCAAGCGUUAUCCGGAAUUAUUGGGCGUAAAGAGUGCGUAGGUGGUUUUGUAAGCGCGGGGUGAAAGGCAAUGGCUCAACUAUUGUAAGCCCUGUGAACUGCAAGGCUUGAGUGCAGGAGAGGAAAGUGGAAUUCCUAGUGUAGCGGUGAAAUGCGUAGAUAUUAGGAGGAACACCAGUGGCGAAGGCGACUUUCUGGACUGUAACUGACACUGAGGCACGAAAGCGUGGGGAGCAAACAG
rnacentral:rRNA from 1 species